GAUGAACGCUGGCGGCGUGCUUAACACAUGCAAGUCGAACGGAAAGGCCCAAGCUUUCUUGGGUACUCGAGUGGCGAACGGGUGAGUAACACGUGGGGGAUCUGCCCUUCACUGCGUGAUAUGCCUUGGAAACUGGGUCUAUUACCGGAUAUGACCACUUCUUGGAUGUUGUUGUGUAAAGAUUUGUCGUUGUGGUGUGAGCUCGCGGCCUAUCAGCUUGUUGGUGGGUUAAUGGCCUGCCAAGGCGUCGACGGGUAGCCGGUCUGAGAGGGUGUACGGCCACAUUGGGACUGAGAUAAGGCACAGACACGUACGGGAGGCAGCAGUGGGGAAUAUUGAACAAGGGGCGCAAGGCUGAUGCAGAGACGCUGCGUGGGGGAUGACGGCCUUAGGGUUGAAAAACAAUUUCGUUAGGAACGAAGCGUUUUGUGACGGUACCUGGAGAAGAAGCAACGGCUAACUACGUG
rnacentral:rRNA from 1 species